UGGCUGUCAUGGUCAAAAAGUUAGAAGGUCACUUUUGGGCUCGGGGCGUCGCUUCACACCCCACUUGUUCAUGUGUGCCUUACUCGGAGCUCCGGGUCGUCUUCGUACUCGUGUGUGUAGACCACGAUCGCUACGAGGCGUUAAGCAAUGGAGAUGACCCUUGAGGGAAGCAAUUCUGCAGAGACAUUUCCACCCGGAGUUGGCGGCGUGAGAUUACACCAUGGCAAGAUAUGCGAAGUUACGAGCUUGCCUUGUGACCAACUUUUUU
rnacentral:SRP_RNA from 1 species